GGGAAGUGUGUGGAUAGUGUUUCCCAUGCUCGUGGUCUAGUUGGUGGCGCUAAUUGAGUUCAAAAUCAUUGUUAUCAUUUGGUCGAAUGAAUGGGCUUAUAAUGGAGUAGUCUCCUUUAAGGAGCAGUAGUGUUGCUUGAGGACAAGCAAAGCUUUAGUUAGGGGUGUUGUUGAGUGGAAAAUUUACCACUUAUUAAAGGAACAAUAACUAGGAAUAAGGAGGCCCUCAGG
rnacentral:lncRNA from 1 species